ACCAGGUCCGGGCGCACGGUGGCGGCGGGGUCGGCCUGCGGGGACACCAUCAGCGGGGGGGCGCCCAGCGGCAGGCGGUCGCCGCGGUCCACCUGCCAGGUGCACCAGAACUUGCCGAACGUGGUGGCCAGGUGGUCCAGCUCCGCCUUCUCCAGCGGCACCGGCAUGUGCGGGCUCGUCCACAGGCCUGACCUGAUCUCGUGCGCGUGCGAGUGCCACAGCCGCUGCUCC
rnacentral:lncRNA from 1 species